rnacentral:rRNA from 1 species
AGCGAGAACCAGGACUUCGGUCCUGGGGACAGCGGCGAACGGGUGAGUAACACGUGGGUAAUCUGCCCUCGAUUCUGGGAUAGCCCGGGGAAACUCGGAUUAAUACCGGAUAGCCUUUCAAGCCUUCGGGCGUGAAAGAAAGGUAGCUUCGGCCUCCGAUCGAGGAUGAGCCGCGGUGGAUUAGCUUGUUGCGGGGUAAUGGCCCACCAAGGCGACGAUCCAUAGCUGGUCUGAGAGGACGAUCAGCCACACUGGGACUGAGACACGGCCCAGACUCC